AGUGAACGCUGGCGGUAGGCCUAACACAUGCAAGUCGAACGGCCGCACAGUAAGAGCUUGCUCUUACGGGUGGCGCGUGGCGGACGGGUGAGGAAUACAUAGGAAUCUACUUUUUCGUGGGGGAUAACGUAGGGAAACUUACGCUAAUACCGCAUACGAUCUACGGGUGAAAGCAGUGGAUCUUCGGACCUUGCGCGAUUGAAUGAGCCGAUGUCGGAUUAGCUAGUUGGCGGGGUAAAGGCCCACCAAGGCGACGAUCCGUAGCUGGUCUGAGAGGAUGAUCAGCCACACUGGAACUGAGACACGGUCCAGACUCCUACGGGAGGCAGCAGUGGGGAAUAUUGGACAAUGGGCGCAAGCCUGAUCCAGCCAUACCGCGUGGGUGAAGAAGGCCUUCGGGUUGUAAAGCCCUUUUGUUGGGAAAGAAAAGCAGCAGGUUAAUACCCCGCUGUUCUGACGGUACCCAAAGAAUAAGCACCGGCUAACUUCGUG
rnacentral:rRNA from 1 species